rnacentral:tRNA from 1 species
CGUUAAGAAGCUAAACCGGGAAUAGCAGUAGCCUUUUAAGCUAAAGAUUGGUGACCCCCAACCACCCCUAGCGA